AACAGGAUUAGAUACCCUGGUAGUCCACGCCGUAAACGUUGGGCGCUAGAUGUAGGGACCUUUCCACGGUUUCUGUGUCGUAGCUAACGCAUUAAGCGCCCCGCCUGGGGAGUACGGCCGCAAGGCUAAGACUCAAAGGAAUUGACGGGGGCCCGCACAAGCGGCGGAGCAUGCGGAUUAAUUCGAUGCAACGCGAAGAACCUUACCAAGGCUUGACAUACACCGGAAACGGCCAGAGAUGGUCGCCCCCUUGUGGUCGGUGUACAGGUGGUGCAUGGUUGUCGUCAGCUCGUGUCGUGAGAUGUUGGGUUAAGUCCCGCAACGAGCGCAACCCUCGUUCUAUGUUGCCAGCGCGUUAUGGCGGGGACUCAUAGGAGACUGCCGGGGUCAACUCGGAGGAAGGUGGGGAUGACGUCAAAUCAUCAUGCCCCUUAUGUCUUGAGCCUCACGCAUGCUACAAUGGCCGGUACGAAGGGCUGCGAUACCGUAAGGUGGAGCGAAUCCCAAAAAGCCGGUCUCAGUUCGGAUUGAGGUCUGCAACUCGACCUCAUGAAGUCGGAGUCGCUAGUAAUCGCAGAUCAGCAACGCUGCGGUGAAUACGUUCCCGGGCCUUGUACACACCGCCCGUCAAGUCAUGAAAGUCGGUAACACCCGAAGCCGGUGGCCUAACCCUUGUGGAAGGAGCCGUCGAAGGUGGGAUCGGUGAUUAGGACUAAGUCGUAACAAGGUAACC
rnacentral:rRNA from 1 species